AAAAAUUUAACGGUAUUCAAAUACGGAAAAGAAUUACUGGUACUUCGCUCGAAAGAUAUGGUACGACCUUACUGCGACGAAUGUGUCAUCUUGGUGGACCUGGAACCUUUUUAUACCCAUCGCAGGAAUUUAGAUGCCGACGACUCACGAUCAUCCUCGGAAUCAAUCGUGGGAUAAAAAUGCAAUUGGGAAAACUUAAUAAAAAUAGAGCUUUUCCUCAUGAAAACGGUGAAAACAGCGGGACAAAAGCUGGCCACAUGCCACAUGUGUACAAAAAAACCGGCUUUUCGUUAAAACCGCGGGAAACGGGAAUAUAAUUUAUAUUAUAUUUUGCCACACCAGGCAUGCCCCUGCAUUUAAUAGGGCUUCCUAAGUUUUAGGCCUUUGUGGUUCUUUAUUAUCCUAAGAAUAACCAGGGCUAAAAACAAUGAAGGCCAGAGACUACAACAUAGUCAACGGAGAACUAAGUAUAACCUAUAAGAAAUUGAACCUUUCCAGGAUACUAUCAGGCUAGAAACCUCUUUAACUUGGUUUCAUUAUGUAUGUUUACAAUUAUAAACCCCUCAUGAUGACUCACAGGUAAAGCUUAAAAUGUAUCUUUUUGUUAUGUAAAUUAUAAAAUUGGAGGUUAAAAUGUUAACAGAGCAAAAUUAUCUAAA